AGAGUUUGAUCCUGGCUCAGGAUGAACGCUGGCGGCGUGCCUAAUACAUGCAAGUCGAGCGAACGGACGAGAAGCUUGCUUCUCUGAUGUUAGUGGCGGACGGGUGAGUAACACGUGGAUAACCUACCUAUAAGACUGGGAUAACUUCGGGAAACCGGAGCUAAUACCGGAUAAUAUUUUGAACCGCAUGGUUCAAAAGUGAAAGACGGUCUUGCUGUCACUUAUAGAUGGAUCCGCGCUGCAUUAGCUAGUUGGUAAGGUAACGGCUUACCAAGGCAACGAUGCAUAGCCGACCUGAGAGGGUGAUCGGCCACACUGGAACUGAGACACGGUCCAGACUCCUACGGGAGG
rnacentral:rRNA from 1 species